rnacentral:rRNA from 1 species
GAUGAACGCUGGCGGCGUGCCUAAUACAUGCAAGUCGAGCGAAUGGAUUAAGAGCUUGCUCUUAUGAAGUUAGCGGCGGACGGGUGAGUAACACGUGGGUAACCUGCCCAUAAGACUGGGAUAACUCCGGGAAACCGGGGCUAAUACCGGAUAACAUUUUGAACCGCAUGGUUCGAAAUUGAAAGGCGGCUUCGGCUGUCACUUAUGGAUGGACCCGCGUCGCAUUAGCUAGUUGGUGAGGUAACGGCUCACCAAGGCAACGAUGCGUAGCCGACCUGAGGGGGUGAUCGGCCCAACUGGGACUGAGACACGGCCCAGACUCCUACGGGAGGCAGCAGUAGGGAAUCUUCCGCAAUGGACGAAAGUCUGACGGAGCAACGCCGCGUGAGUGAUGAAGGCUUUCGGGUCGUAAAACUCUGUUGUUAGGGAAGAACAAGUGCUAGUUGAAUAAGCUGACACCUUGACGGUACCUAACCAGAAAGCCACGGCUAACUACGUGCCAGCAGCCGCCGCGG